ensembl:lncRNA
CUGAUAGAUAAGACUGCUGAUGUGCUCUCAUCCAUUGAAGAGCUGACCAGAAACGUGAACAGAAAGACUGCACCUGAUGGGAUCCCUGCCAUAACAGAUGUGUUCUGUCCAGUGAAGGCAGUGGAGAAGCCCUACACUGAUCUUGAAACUGUGCCACGCUAGUAGAGACCGGCUACAAGGAUGGGCAGCUGUUUUCGCAAAGUCAGCCAACCACUUGCUUCCAAAUGACCCUUAUCCAGAAGUAUCCGUGAGUGCCUCAUCAACAGAAACUAAAGUGGAGACCUACCUCUCAGAGAAAACGCACAUAAGAAAAGCCGACCCACUUCAGUACUGGGAAGAACAUCCUAAUCGGUUUCCCUCUAUGGCUGCUGUUGCGAUCCCAGUGUGCCCCCUGUAGCUCUGUGGACAGUUUUGGAUUUGUUUACAUCUCACCCCAACCGGUCGCGGCAGAUGGCCGCCCCUCCCUGAGCCUGGUUCUGCCGGAGGUUUCUUCCUGUUAAAAGGGAGUUUUUCCUUCCCACUGUCGCCA